rnacentral:rRNA from 1 species
UACGUAGGGGUCAAGCGUUGUCCGGAAUCAUUGGGCGUAAAGCGCGUGUAGGCGGUCCGGUAAGUCCGCUGUGAAAGUCGGGGGCUCAACCCUCGGAUGCCGGUGGAUACUGUCGGGCUUGAGUACGGAAGAGGCGAGUGGAAUUCCUGGUGUAGCGGUGAAAUGCGCAGAUAUCAGGAGGAACACCAAUUGCGAAGGCAGCUCGCUGGGACGUUACUGACGCUGAGACGCGAAAGCGUGGGGAGCGAACAGG